GAUAAACGCUGGCGGCGCACAUAAGACAUGCAAGUCGAACGGAAGUCGUUAUAAUGAUUUAGAAGUGGACAGAGAACUUGUUCAAAGAAAACGGACAUUGACUUAUAACAAUGGCUUUAGUGGCGGACUGGUGAGUAACGCGUGAGCAACCUGCCUGUUAGAGGGGAAUAACAGUGAGAAAUCAUUGCUAAUACCGCAUAUGCCAUAGAAAUCACAUGAUUUCAGUGGGAAAGGAGUAAUCCGCUAACAGAUGGGCUCGCGUCUGAUUAGAUAGUUGGUGGGGUAACGGCCUACCAAGUCGACGAUCAGUAGCCGGACUGAGAGGUUGAACGGCCACAUUGGGACUGAGAUACGGCCCAG
rnacentral:rRNA from 1 species